rnacentral:snRNA from 1 species
GUGCCCGCUUCAGCAGCUCACACACUAAAAUUGGAACAAUACAGCGAAGGCUGGCAUGGCCCCUUCGCAAAGAAAUCGCGCAAAUUCAUGAAAUGUUCCGUAUUUUU